CUUAUUGGAGAUGACCCUUGGCAGGAAUUUUGUGCUAUGGUCCGUCAGAUUUUUAUAUACACAAAAGAGGAGGUCCAGAAGAUGGAUUCAAGUACCUUGAACCCAAAAAAUGAAGAUUGUCCUGAUAUGAAAGAGAAUGUCAAGGAAACAAAAGGCAGUCAAUCUGCAUCAUCAUCUAAUUCAAAAAACUCAUAGGCUUAUCCUGCAAUAUCACUAUCAAGGAAGAAUGUUCAAAGGAAAGUAAAGGCUAGGGAGAAGAUCACAUAAUUAACUACACGGGUCUAGUGAAAAUACUGAAGAAGUAUGACAAGAGAACAUGAGCACUUAUCAGGCAGCCCUUCAUCGAAAAGGUGCUGCAGUAGCCAUUCUUUACAACUGAUCUCCUAUACAAACUCGUGAAGGAGUGUGUGGCUAUGCUCGACCACCUCUUCCCCAGCAACAACCUGUCAAUUUCAGCAGAAUGCGAUGGACAAAAUGGAGUGCCAAAGCCGGCACAAUUAGGUGGGAGGGUUCCGGAGUUGGAGGAGAUUAAAUAUAUGCAGAGCUUAUACAUGAAGAGCAUCGUAGCAGCGCUGCGGUCCUUGAAACAGAUUAGGAGCAAAAGUUCAACAGUCAAAACAGAUUAGAAAAUCUCGUGUUAUAUUGUUCUACCUUUGUUUUAAUAGUGUUAUC